rnacentral:misc_RNA from 1 species
GUGAAUCAUCGAAUCUUUGAACGCACAUUGCGCCUCUUGGUUUUCCUCGAGGCAUGCCUAUUCGAGCGUCGUUUCGACCCUCAAGCGCAAGCUUGGUGUUGGGGACUGCUGCCCUCUCGCAGGGCGGCAUCCCUCGAAUUCAUCGGCGGUGCCGGUGCGGCCUGGAGCGCAGCAGCGAUGCAGCUUCCUGGGGCUUAGCGCGACGCCAGCCGGACAAGGUAGCGACCCAUGCUUCGGCAGGGGACGCAACUUUAACUCAACGUCGACCUCGAAUUAGGUAGGGAUACCCGCUGAACUUAAGCAUAUCAAUAAGCGGAGGA